rnacentral:rRNA from 1 species
CCUACGGGGGGCAGCAGUGGGGAAUAUUGCACAAUGGGCGCAAGCCUGAUGCAGCGACGCCGCGUGCGGGAUGGAGGCCUUCGGGUUGUAAACCGCUUUUGUUCAAGGGCAAGGCACGGUCUUUGGCCGUGUUGAGUGGAUUGUUCGAAUAAGCACCGGCUAACUACGUGCCAGCAGCCGCGGUAAUACGUAGGGUGCAAGCGUUAUCCGGAUUUACUGGGCGUAAAGGGAGCGUAGGCGGACUUUUAUGUGAGAUGUGAAAUACU